AAAAAAAAAGGAGAGAAGUGUACCUUUGUAAUCCCUUGUUAUAGUCAAGGUCUAACUAUGGGUUUUGGAAAUAGAAAAACAUAGAAGUGAGGAAAACACAAGAAGAAGAAAAGGGAAGAGAAUUCCUGAAUAAAAGAAACACAUUUUGGUGAAUAAGAUAGUACUACAUUUAAGUGAGAGUUCAAGUGGACGACGAAGGGUAUUCUUGAAAUUUGCCUCAAGUUCAUUCUUUAAGCGUUUCUUGUCUUUUAGGCUUUCAGUGAGUUCCAGAUCAAUACGUGUCCUAUUGUAAUCAACACGUGGAUAUAAUUUUUGUCCAUUCUUGUGGCUUUUCUUUUCCAUCUUAGAGCAAUUUUGAACUUUUCCCUUCUAUCUCAAUUCCUCCUUCGUUCUUCUCUCUCUGUCUCUUUCAGGUGAGUUGUUGUCUUCUCCUCCCUGUUUUCUUGUGCUCUUCUUUUUUUUUUUUUUUAAAUCCCGUGGUUUCAGUGAAUUUACACCGUAUGUAGGGAUAUUUUAGCGGUGCAUGUGUUCUGAUCCUGCUUCAACAUAAAAAUUUCAGAUUUUCAAAAGAGGAAAGUUGCUCAAGUUGAGGAGGAAGGACCCUUGCUUUGACUGUCACAAAGCUAAUGACAAAAAGUAUGUUGGUUGCAAGAAGAAGAAGAAGUCUUCAACAAUGCUUUCAUUUGUGCCUUUGCAUUCAGUAUAUUGCACGGAUAUGAAUACAAAGUCUCCUCUGGUACCUCGCCAAUUUGUAAUUGCAUUAAUUUGUUUUUUGGAAUAUUAUUUAGUGUUGAAAUAUUUCGGCAAGUUAGGUGUGCAUUAUAGAUCUAUAGCUCAGCUUCUGAAGCAAGACAAUAUAGUGGAUAUUUGAAGAAACAAGGAUAUUUGAAGAAACAAACAUACUGUGUUGGAUUUGUAUAUGGGCAGCCAGGUGCACUAAGCUUCCGCUAUGCAUUGCGUCCGGGGGAGGGCCGGACCAUAAGGGUCUAUUGUACACAACCUUACCCUGCAUUAUGCAAGAGGUUGUUUCCACAGCUCGAACCACUGACCUCCUAGUCACAUGGCAACAACUAUUUUGGAUUUGUAUCAAGUGUUAAAAAUGAUUAUUGAUACAGAUCAAUUGCUUUCAAACAGAUAGAACUUAUCAUCCUUACAUUUUCUGAGCCAACAACACCAAGUGUUUUUUACCCUACAAAUACUAGCCAGACACAUUCAUGAAUAGGUAUUUGCCAUAAUGCAGGUCAACUUAGCUGAUUGUUAUUGUCUAAUUGAGCUAGGGCCAACCAUUACUGGUGCUUAUUUUUAGAUAAAUGGUGUCUUAAAUUUCCUUCUAUGCAACGCUUAGAAUGGAUAGCAAAUACGAGACACAUAGAGCAGUAUGAUAUAGAUAAUACCAGAGUUCUAGAAACAUGUGUUGCUAAUCAGCCGCGGCCAGGGCAGCUAAUUUGAAAAGGAUUUUCUUUUAAGCCCGAUGAGGUGGCGGAACUUUUUGGGUGGCCUUUAUUCCCUCAGAAAUUGACCGAAUCCCGAAAGUUAUUGCGCUAACUGGGAAUCUGAACUUUGGGAAAGGUAAAUUUGUUUAUUAAAUUUAACUAAUUACUUCUUGUAAUCCCUAUGGUCAAGUAAAAAUGUUAAUGCAGCUUUGGCUUCUUAUUUUAACAGCAAGGAGAAAACUUGACAAUUUGUGAUUUCAAACAUGAAUUUUACCGGGGAGUUUAGUCCUCAUGCAAGCACGGAACCACACUUCUAUAUCAAUGGCCAAGAGAGAAUUCAACUGGAACUCAAAACUUCUGAAGGGUUUACAUUUUUUUGGACAUAUUAGUUGUAUAAAUAUUACAUGUUCUUUGCUUUAUAAUGGUAAUUUUCUGUUAUGCACAUUCGUGGAAUCAUGGGUGAACAAAGAUGAAAUAGCUUCCAAAAUGCAAAGGUUUAUUAGGUGACAGGUUCAUGAAUGUAUUAACCAAUGAUGGUAUUGCUCAUUUAUGAAGUUCUCAAAAAUGAGAGACUGCAGUAAUUGCUUCAUGCCAGUGAAAAGCAUAUGAAGAAUCGAAGCCUUCAAAUUUGGAACGGGAGUUUCUCGCCUGCUAAGAGUAUAAAGAAGCGGAGUGUCACCCCAACAAACUAGACGCACGCAUCAAGGCGUUCUGCCAACGAGCAAAGGCGUAACUUAUAAUGCAGUUUGAAAUUAGUAUAUCAGGUGGCGGCAAAACAUUAUCUAAGUUUCAUGCAUAUAAUUCAUUUUGAGAUGGGAAACACUUCAUUCAACAUCAGUUUCAUUAUUUGAGCCAAUAGGCAGAAGAGAAGUCGAUGGAAAUGUGUUCAUAUUGACAAUAUAUCGAUCUUAUUCAAGUUUUCUCGCACUUGGUAGUCCCGUGCAAAAUCUCUUUGAGAUUAUUUGGUUAUUUAAGUCUUCCAAGUUGUCUUGUUAAUUUGCAGUUUACAUUUUUACUUGGUAUUAUGUAAAUAUUACUUCAGCUUAGUUGUGUCAAAUUUUCAUUCUCAUGGUUUGCCAUUGGAAGAGCAAUGACAACGUUCCAAGUUUGAACUGAUUAUAGUCGAAUACAAAUUCAUGAUAGCUUUUCUAUAUUUGUUGUACGGUUGGUACUAUGAAUCACAA